UAGUCAAAUGCAGUGAAGAUUUACAGUUAGAUUUAUGCACGUUAUGUUAAUGCGUCCCUACAGUCUUAAUUUCAAAGCUUUCAUAAUUCUGUCAGUCAAUUUGAUUCAACAUCAUAAUAAAAGUAAGUCUAAUUUUCCUGGCUUUCAACACACCUUUAUUUUCAGCAAAUCAAGCUUGCAAUAACAAGAAUCAGAGUCAUAGACUAUCAGUGCACAGUAACAGAUGAAUCUGCCAAAAAAUCCCCUUUAAGAACUCACUGGAGCAUUGCUAAUGGUUUAUUGCUAAUGGCAAGCAUUCCUCUGCAGAAUCAGGCCAAAUUCCCAGAUGAAGGCUCAAGGAUGGCUUUUUCUGCAUCUGUAUUCUGAGUCUGUGGGUGAAGCUCUCCAUACAGCUGCUCAGUACUGCUGCUGCUUAGCACUGUGCAUGAGCUUCCACAUCAACUGUGCAGUGAUUUCAGUGUCAUUUCUCAACUCUCAGCAGAAACAACAGACUGGGAUAAAUAAAUUUUUGUUCAUAAAAGAUGACAGACAAUGUCAAAUGAAAGAAACACAGCUCUGUAGGAGUUUUUUUAGGAAUAAGGGUCUCAUUAUGAAAGGAAUUUGAGAGGUCAGGUCCAACUGAAAUUAUGUCUCAAGUUCCCAUUAAUUUCAUCUGAGGGAAAAAAGUAACAGAUUUGUAUUAGCUUAUUAGCUUUAUAACGCUUAGCUUUUGGUCUUGAUUCUUAAAAUAACUCCUUAACUGCACUCUACUUCAUAUUACAUAUGCUUUCUCUUUAAUAUACCUUGCUUGCCAUCAAUUCACAUGCAAGUUCUAUCCAACACAUCUGCUGAAACUUCCUACUCCUGAGAGCACUCAUCUCAAUAUUUACUUAGUUAUGCAGUCAUAAUAAACAUCCCCAGCUAAUACAAAAGGCAAUUAGUUUGCUGAUUCAUGGACUCUUUUACUUCAGUUUCAGCUAGGAGCAAUAAAAAUUAAGGUUGAAUGUGCCUUUGAAAAGGCAGUCUGGUUUACACGAGAACUUUGAGCUGAAU